rnacentral:rRNA from 1 species
CGCGUGCACUGGUCCGGCCGGGCCUUUCCUUCUGUGGAACCCCAUGCCCUUCACUGGGUGUGGCGGGGAAACAGGACUUUUACUUUGAAAAAAUUAGAGUGCUCCAGGCAGGCCUAUGCUCGAAUACAUUAGCAUGGAAUAAUAAAAUAGGACGUGUGGUUCUAUUUUGUUGGUUUCUAGGACCGCCGUAAUGAUUAAUAGGGACAGUCGGGGGCAUCAGUAUUCAGUUGUCAGAGGUGAAAUUCUUAGAUCUACUGAAGACUAACUGCUGCGAAAGCAUUUGCCAAGGAUGUUUUCAUUAAUCAGGAACGAAAGUUAGGGGAUCGAAGACGAUCAGAUACCGUCGUAGUCUUAACCAUAAACUAUGCCGACUAGGGAUCGGACGAUGUUAUUUUUUGACUCGUCCGGCACCUUACGAGAAAUCAAAGUGCUUGGGCUCCAGGGGGAGUAUGGUCGCAAGGCUGAAACUUAAAGAAAUUGACGGAAGGGCACCACCAGGGGUGGAGCCUGCGGCUUAAUUUGACUCAACACGGGGAAACUCACCAGGUCCAGACACAAUAAGGAUUGACAGAUUGAGAGCUCUUUCUUGAUUUUGUGGGUGGUGGUGCAUGGCCGUUCUUAGUUGGUGGAGUGAUUUGUCUGCUUAAUUGCGAUAACGAACGAGACCUUAACCUGCUAACUAGCCCGUAUUGCUCAGGCAGUACGCCGGCUUCUUAGAGGGACUAUCGG